rnacentral:ncRNA from 1 species
AAAAAACCGACGAGAAAGAAUAGUAACUCUGAAUUUCUUUUGCAAAGAGAGCCGCAGAAGGUGUGAUUGCGGUAAAAAGAAGUAGAGCGAAUGGACUUUUGAGGGCAGGAUGAAAAAUGGUUUUGAACCGUUUAGUAGUUCCUGACGGGGACUUUACCCGUUAUCCGGAAAGCAUGUAUUUUAUGAAGUACAUGAAAUUGAGUGGGCGUUUUUUUGAAACGUCAAUUUGGGUGGUACCACAGGAGUUUUAAAGCUCUUGUCCCUGUG